CUGGUAUUCAGAAUUGGUCUUGCUGUCUCUCCUAUUGCUGGAGACAGGGUUGGAAGCAAUCAGCUUCUGUCUUCAUCUUCUUCAGUUCAAUUUUCUUCUUUAGCAGGUAUUAUCUUCUGUUUCUGUUGCAUCUGUUCUGGAUGUCUCUGAUCCACCAUGACCUCCAGUUGACUGAUCCAUAGUCUACAUAUCCAUUCUUCCAAUGGACCAUGAAAUUGAAUUGGGACCUGUGCUGUAAGAAAUCGCCCAGAAAGUCACAGGAGACUGGCACACACCCUCUAAUGAGAAAACAUUUCACAAGCAACAAAAACCACGGUCAAAAAUAAUCAGAGAGUUGAUGAUGGAAAGAAACCUAAAGGAGCAUAAUCCAAAAAGCGGAAAAAGUUAAUCCUCUCCAUCCACCCAGGAUUAGCCUGCCCAUCCAACAGAUCCAUGACUUUGAUAUUAGCUCUCUGGAAGCAUUAAAUUAAUUGUGAAAUUUUUUUCCUAAGGAGAAAGGAUGAAUAUUUGUUUUAAAAAUAAAACAAAAUUAAGACUAUAUACAGUCGGAAGAAGACAGAAAUGGUAGAAGAAAGAAGAAAAUGAAGAGCAGAAGCAGAGGAGAAGUAGAAGGAGAAGGAAGGGAAGAAGGGGAAGGAGAAGAAGAAGAAAUGUAGAAAUGGCAAUUACAUAAAAUCAAAAAUUUUUUUUGAAUUUCAUUUUCAUCCUCUAAAUUCUUACUCAUAACCAUUUAUCUCUCCAAAUGGCAUUUAAAAAUCAGGAUAAAAGUUGGUACUAUAUUUAUUGAUUUUUUAUAUCAAUAAUCACCUCUAAUUAGGGUUUUUCCUUUGAGUUUCUAAACAAAGAUAAAAAUUAUAAUUGUUUAAAAGUACUACUUCAUCUUCAAUCCAGUAGAGGCCAUUCCAUAUAUUGAGUAAAUUUCAAUAGCACAUACAUAGCAUCUGUACAUACACUUGAAGAUUACAUGAAAUAAUAUACACACAUAAGAACAAUUAAGCACCCACUGUAUAUAUGAGAAAUGAAAAUGGGCUGGGUGAGGAAAAGCUUCCAGAAGUAAGAAAACUCAACCUGGAUUCAUACACAAAGAGACAUGUAAAGCUUGAUGACUGUCUUCAGUACUUCUAGUUUUUGUGCUAAUAAUGUAAAUGUUUUAAAACAGUAUCACAUAGGGGGCACCUGGGUGGCUCAGUCUGUUAAACAUCUGACUCUUGGUUUCGGCUCAGGUCACGAUCUCACAGUUUCAUG